rnacentral:rRNA from 1 species
GAUGAACGCUAGCGAUAGGCCUAACACAUGCAAGUCGAGGGGCAUCACAUGAAGUAGCAAUACGGAUGGUGGCGACCGGCGCACGGGUGAGUAACACGUAUGCAACCUGCCUUCAACAAGGGGAUAACCCGUUGAAAGACGGACUAAUACCCUAUAACACAGGGGUCCCGCAUGGGAAUAUUUGUUAAAGGACAACCGGUUGAAGAUGGGCAUGCGUUCCAUUAGCUAGUUGGCGGGGUAACGGCCCACCAAGGCAACGAUGGAUAGGGGAACUGAGAGGUUUAUCCCCCACACUGGUACUGAGACACGGACCAGACUCCUACGGGAGGCAGCAGUGAGGAAUAUUGGUCAAUGGACGCAAGUCUGAACCAGCCACGUCGCGUGAAGGAAGACGGCCCUACGGGUUGUAAACUUCUUUUAUACGGGAAUAAAGUGCCCCACGCGUGGGGUUUUGCAUGUACCGUAUGAAUAAGGAUCGGCUAACUCCGUGCCAGCAGCCGCGGUAAG